rnacentral:rRNA from 1 species
UAACACAUGCAAGUCGAACGAAGUAGCAAUACUUAGUGGCAGACGGGUGAGUAACAUGUGGGUAUCUGCCCUUUGGCCUGGAAUAACACGAGGAAACUUGUGCUAAUACCGGAUAAGUCUUUACGGAGAAAGCUUUAUGCACCAUUGGAUGAGCCCGCACUUGAUUAGUUUGUUGGUGGGGUAAUGGCCUACCAAGACCGUGAUCAAUAGCUGAUUUGAGAGGAUGAUCAGCCACAUUGGGACUGAGACACGGCCCAAACUCCUACGGGAGGCAGCAGUGGGGAAUCUUGCACAAUGGAGGAAACUCUGAUGCAGCGAUGCCGCGUGAGUGAAGAAGGCCUUUGGGUUGUAAAGCUCUUUCGUCGGGGAAGAAAAUGACUGUACCCGAAUAAGAAGGUCCGGCUAACUUCGUGCCAGCAGCCGCGGUAAUACGAAGGGACCUAGCGUAGUUCGGAAUUACUGGGCUCAAAGAGUUCGUAGGUGGUUGAAAAAGUUGGUGGUGAAAUCCCAGAGCUUAACUCUGGAACUGCCAUCAAAACUUUUCAGCUAGAGUAUGAUAGAGGAAAGCAGAAUUUCUAGUGUAGAGGUGAAAUUCGUAGAUAUUAGAAAGAAUACCAAUUGCGAAGGCAGCUUUCUGGAUCAUUACUGACACUGAGGAACGAAAGCAUGGGUAGCGAAGAGGAUUAGAUACCCUCGUAGUCCAUGCCGUAAACGAUGUGUGUUAGACGUUGGAAAUUUAUUUUCAGUGUCGCAGCGAAAGCGAUAAACACACCGCCUGGGGAGUACGACCGCAAGGUUAAAACUCAAAUGAAAUUGACGGGGACCCCGCACAAGUAGUGGGAGCAUGUGGUUUAAUUCGAAGAUACGCGCAGAACCUUACCAACACUUGACAUGUUCGUCGCGACUCUAAGAGAUUAGAGUUUUCGGUUCGGCCGGACGAAACACAGGUGCUGCAUGGCUGUCGUCAGCCCGUGUCGUGAGAUGUUGGGUUAAGUCCCGCAACGAGCGCAACCCUCACUUUUAGUUGCCAUCAUUAAGUUGGGCACUCUGAAAGAACUGCCAGUGAUAAGCUGGAGGAAGGUGGGGAUGACGUCAAGUCCUCAUGGCCCUUACGUGUUGGGCUACACACGUGCUACAAUGGUAUCUACAACAGGAAGCAAGACUGCGAAGUUAAGCAAAUCCCUAAAAGAUACCUCAGUUCGGAUUGCACUCUGCAACUCGAGUGCAUGAAGCUGGAAUUACUAGUAAUCGUGGAUCAGCGUGCCACGGUGAAUGCGUUCCCGGGUCUUGUACACACCGCCCGUCACACCAUGGGAGUUGGUUCUACCUUAAGGCAGGUUUUAAACCCUUGACCACGGUAUAGUCAGCGACUGGGGUG